AUUGAACGCUGGCGGAAUGCUUUACACAUGCAAGUCGAACGGCAGCACGGACUUCGGUCUGGUGGCGAGUGGCGAACGGGUGAGUAACAUAUCGGAACGUAUCCAAUAAUGGGGGAUAACGAGUCGAAAGAUUCGCUAAUACCGCAUACGCCCUACGGGGGAAAGCUGGGGACCUUCGGGCCUGGCGUUAAUGGCGCGGCCGAUAUCUGAUUAGCUAGUUGGUGAGGUAAAGGCUCACCAAGGCGACGAUCAGUAGCUGGUCUGAGAGGACGACCAGCCACACUGGAACUGAGACACGGUCCAGACUCCUACGGGAGGCAGCAGUGGGGAAUUUUGGACAAUGGGCGCAAGCCUGAUCCAGCCAUUCCGCGUGAGUGAAGAAGGCCUUCGGGUUGUAAAGCUCUUUCGCAAGGGAAGAAAACUUAGCCACUAACAUUGGUUGAGGUUGACGGUACCUUGAUAAGAAGCACCGGCUAACUGCGUGCCAGCAGCCGCAGUAA
rnacentral:rRNA from 1 species